rnacentral:tRNA from 1 species
UGGGGUGUAGCUCAAUGGUAGAGCAUUUGCCUAGCAUAUGCAAGGCCCUGGGUUCAAUUUCCAGCACCACGA